rnacentral:rRNA from 1 species
GACGAACGCUGGCGGCGUGCUUAACACAUGCAAGUCGAACGGAAAGGCCCUGCUUUUGUGGGGUGCUCGAGUGGCGCACGGGUGAGUAACACGUGUGUAACCUGCCCUUGACUUUGGGAUAACUUCAGGAAACUGGGGCUAAUACCGGAUAGGAGCUCCUGCUGCAUGGUGGGGGUUGGAAAGUUUCGGCGGUUGGGGAUGGACUCGCGGCUUAUCAGCUUGUUGGUGGGGUAGUGGCUUACCAAGGCUUUGACGGGUAGCCGGCCUGAGAGGGUGACCGGCCACAUUGGGACUGAGAGACGGCCCAGACUGCUACGGGAGGCAGUAGUGGGGAAUAUUGCACAAUGGGCGGAAGCCUGAUGCAGCAACGCCGGGUGCGGGAUGACGGCCUUCGGGGUGUAAACCGCUGUCGCCUGUGACGAAGCGGGAGUGACGGUAAUGGGUAAAGAAGCACCGGCUAACUACGUG